GUUGCGAUCCCUCCAGGGGUGAUGACGAC
rnacentral:other from 1 species